GGGAAGUGCUGGGUCUUGCUAAAGCGGGUUCUCGUUGACAGACCGCCCACUCACUCACAGACAGGUGUCAAUGCAUUGCAGCCUCAACACAGGACAAGGGCAAUUCCAGAAAGCCAUGGUUUCUGGACUCUGCCCGCUGAAAACAAGGGCUUUGUGAGCAUAUAAAGGGACAAGAGGGAAAUCAAGCUGAACUGCUGUCCUCGGGACCUGGCGUUGGAGUCACGUCCACUCACGUGCUUGGCUUGGCUCCCAAGUUACUGUCUACAUGGAGGAAGCUAAUUCCGAGAAUGCCUGCUUAUACAACCGGUCCCCGACACAGCUGGUCUCAACUACCUUGGUUUCAAAGACUCCCAGCAAAGGGUUUCAUCUUGGGAAAAAAGCGGUUGGGGAGUUCGAGACCUGAGGGUACUGCCUUCUCCAGGGAGACGACUGUAAGGGAA